CCUACGGGAGGCUGCAGUGGGGAAUAUUGGACAAUGGGCGCAAGCCUGAUCCAGCCAUGCCGCGUGGGUGAUGAAGGCCCUAGGGUUGUAAAGCCCUUUCGGCGGGGAAGAUAAUGACGGUACCCGCAGAAGAAGCCCCGGCUAACUUCGUGCCAGCAGCCGCGGUAAUACGAAGGGGGCUAGCGUUGCUCGGAAUCAAUGGGCGUAAAGCGCACGUCGGCGGCUUCUUAAGUCAGGGGUGAAAUCCUGGAGCUCAACUCCAGAACUGCCUUUGAUACUGGGAAGCCUGAGUCCGGGAGAGGUGAGUGGAACUGCGAGUGUAGAGGUGAAAUUCGUAGAUAUUCGCAAGAACACCAGUGGCGAAGGCGGCUCACUGGCCCGGUACUGACGCUGAGGUGCGAAAGCGUGGGGAGCAAACAGGAUUAGAUACCCCUGUAGUC
rnacentral:rRNA from 1 species